rnacentral:rRNA from 1 species
UACGGAGGGAGCUAGCGUUGUUCGGAAUUACUGGGCGUAAAGCGCGCGUAGGCGGCUUUGUAAGUUAGAGGUGAAAGCCCGGGGCUCAACUCCGGAACUGCCUUUAAGACUGCAUCGCUAGAAUCCGGGAGAGGUGAGUGGAAUUCCGAGUGUAGAGGUGAAAUUCGUAGAUAUUCGGAAGAACACCAGUGGCGAAGGCGACUUACUGGACACAUAUUGACGCUGAGGUGCGAAAGCGUGGGGAGCAAACAGG